rnacentral:tRNA from 1 species
CGCUCGGCCUCCGUUGGGUAAGGUGCUGUCUCUCAUAAGGACGGACUGGCGGGUUCAAGCCCCGCACGAGCGACCA